UAGACGUCAACCUGAACAAGUAUUGGCAGAUGGCAAGAUGGCUGGUGCCAUAGUACGGUGUUUUAAGAUUCCAAAGAGACAAUUAGGUCUCUUGGGAUCGUCGUUAACUAAUCAGCAACAACAGAGAUCCUUAGCAGAUGCUGCUCCCGAGGGCAAAAAAGUCGGUGGUCCUUUAGCAGAUGAAGAUCGUAUUUUUACUAAUUUAUAUGGCAGACAUGAUUGGAGAUUAAAGGGUGCAUUAAAGAGGGGUGAUUGGUAUAAGACUAAGGAAAUAUUAGAUAAAGGAGCCGAUUGGAUCAUCAAUGAGAUUAAGAUCUCUGGAUUGAGAGGUAGAGGAGGUGCUGGUUUCCCUUCGGGUAUGAAAUGGUCCUUUAUGAACAAACCGGCUGAUGGAAGACCAAAGUAUUUAGUUAUCAACGGAGACGAAGGUGAACCAGGAACUUGCAAGGACCGUGAGAUCCUGCGACAUGAUCCACACAAACUUGUAGAAGGAUGUUUAAUUGCUGGUCGUGCUAUGGGUGCUUGUGCUGCAUAUAUUUACAUUCGUGGUGAAUUUUAUAACGAAGCUUCGAAUAUGCAAGUUGCUAUUGCCGAAGCUUAUCAAGCAGGAUUAAUUGGAAAGAAUGCUUGUGGUUCUGGUUAUAAUUUUGACAUCUUUGUACAACGUGGAGCUGGAGCGUACAUCUGUGGAGAAGAGACAGCUCUUAUUGAGUCUAUCGAAGGGAAGCAGGGUAAACCUAGACUAAAGCCACCUUUCCCAGCAGACGUCGGUCUCUUUGGAUGUCCGACCACAGUUACCAACGUUGAAACAGUUGCAGUCGCCCCUACAAUCUGCCGACGUGGUGGUGCUUGGUUUGCAUCCUUUGGAAGACCGCGUAAUCAUGGUACCAAAUUGUUCAAUAUUUCUGGUCAUGUUAAUAAUCCAUGCACCGUUGAGGAAGAGAUGUCCAUUCCUUUGAAAGAAUUGAUCGAAAGGCAUGCAGGUGGUGUGAUUGGUGGAUGGGAUAAUUUAUUAGGUGUUAUACCCGGAGGAUCUUCGACUCCGGUCAUUCCAAAAAACGUCUGCGAUACGGUAUUAUUAGACUUUGACGAUCUCAUUCGAGUUCAAAGUGCUUUCGGAACGGCAGCAGUCAUCGUAAUGAACAAGCAAACUGAUAUUAUCAAAGCUAUUACUCGUUUGAUUAGCUUUUACAAACACGAAUCUUGCGGUCAGUGUACACCUUGUCGUGAGGGUAUCAGUUGGAUGUAUAAGAUUUUACAAAGGUUUAAGGAGGGAAACGCUGAAGAACACGAGAUUGAUAUGCUAUGGGAAUUAACUAAACAAAUCGAAUUGCACACAAUCUGUGCUUUAGCUGACGGUGCUGCGUGGCCUGUGCAAGGACUAAUUCGUCACUUCAGACCUGAAAUCGAAGCUCGCAUCAAACAGAAGAAAGAGGCGGCUGCAUCGUGUAAUUAAUAAUGUGUAGUGUGGCAGCAGAGUAUUUAAAAGAAAAUAAGAAAAAAAUAAAAGAAAGAUCAGUUAACUUGUAGCAACCAGCAGGAAAAAAGUGUACAUACAUAUAUAAAAAAGAAGAUAGACGCGAUAGUACGAAGUUUCUUAUGUAAGAUUCUUCCUGAUCCUCAUUUAAAUAUUAAAUCGGGGUCGGUCAAUAAAAAACGAAGGAAAACGCAA
rnacentral:misc_RNA from 1 species